rnacentral:rRNA from 1 species
GACGAACGCUGGCGGUGUGCUUAACACAUGCAAGUCGAACGGUAAGGCCCUUUCGGGGGUACGCGAGUGGCGAACGGGUGAGUAACACGUGAGUAACCUGCCCUCAUCUCUGGGAUAACAGUCGGAAACGGUUGCUAAUACUGGCUAUGAGCUUGCAAGGCAUCUUGUGGGUUGGAAAGAUUUUUUUUGGUUGGGGAUGGACUCGCGGCCUAUCAGCUUGUUUGUGAGGUAGUGGCUCACCAAGGCUUCGACGGGUAGCCGGCCUGAGAGGGCGACCGGCCACAUCGGGACUGAGAGACGGCCCAAACUCCGACGGGAGGCAGCAGUGGGGAAUAUUGGACAAUGGACGGAAGUCUGAGGCAGCAACGCCGCGUGCGGGAUGACGGCCUUCGGGUUGUAAACCGCUUUCAAUUGUGAUGAAGCUUUUUUGUGACGGUAGCAGUAGAAGAAGCACCGGCUAACUACGUG